CCGGAUACAGGCGGCCGAAAUGAGCUUUCUCCGCAGGGUGGCCGGGCGAUCCCUUAGAGAUAGGGUGAGAAGCUCGGUCACCCGGGAGGAGCUCAGAGUAGAGCCCCUGCUCCUCCACAUCGAGAGGGGUCAGCUGAGGUGGCUUGGGCAUCUUUUUCGGAUGCCUCCGGAACUCCUUCCUGGGAAGGUGUUCCGGUCCCGUCCCACCGGGAGGAGACCCCGGGGAAGACCUAGGACUCGCUGGAGGGACUAUGUCUCCCGGCUGGCCUGGGAACGCCUCGGUGUCCCCCCGGAAGAGCUAGAGGAAGUGUCUGGGGAGAGGGAAGUCUGGGCAUCCCUGCUUAGACUGCUGCCCCCGCGACCCGGCCCCGGAUAAGCGGAAGAAGAUGGCUCUGCUGCUGUCACUGAUCCAAAGUCUUCUUCACGUUCAUAUAUUUACAGCACCUGUAUAUUCUGGUGGUAUGAUCAGAAAACCAGUAAACUUCAGAUAGAUGAAGACCACUGAUCUUGAUCAGCAUACCGGGACAACAAACUGUGCUGUGGACAGCGGCAGCACAGAAGUUAUGGCAGACUCUACAUCAGCAAUUUUACCAG
ensembl:lncRNA